UAAAACUUUGAUUUUGUAAAUCAAAAAUAAGAUUUUCUUUAAAAACU
rnacentral:tRNA from 1 species